CGGGUGUGUAUGUUUCUGUGUGUGUUUGUGUGUGUGUGUGUGUGUACCCCAAUUAGUAUUUUUGUGCGAUCAUGUUGAUUGUUUGUUUCCAUGAGCGACCGAUUGGCGUGUCGCUUUAAAUGUUCCUGCCCCAAGGUAUUGUGAGACAGUAUUAUCUCCUUUCCAUUCGUAAAGGACACUCCAGUGUACCCUAGGCUAAAUGAGUCAAGAAAGGAUGCUUUGAAGCACCUUUUCAUGAAGAGAAUUGGAACAGCUCUGAUCAUGCCUGCCACUCGGGAUACUUUCGGGUAAACUCAAGUCAGUUAUGAAC